rnacentral:lncRNA from 1 species
AUAAAUGGAAAUAACUACCUCUAGGGUAGGAAUUGAGAAAGGCUCUGCAAAUUAAUUUGGGAUGAAAUCCCUUUCUAUUAAGUAAAAAUAUUAAUUGUCUUUACAGAAGCUGAUGAAUGGCUGUAAGCCAGCUAACUGUUGGACACUGAGGUAUUUCUGGAUGCUCUGCGCUGUUUCUGAAGCAUUAGCAAACUGACAACAAUCAGUACAGAGCAGAUUUAAAAUACUGUUGUUUAAACAUACCCUACUUCUGUACAUAUUGCUCAUUCUGCAUGCUGGAAAUGGAAUACAAUCCCCCUUUUUCUUAAAAAGUGUGUUCUUAACAUAAACUAGAUGCCUGCUUUUCUGAUUUGG